rnacentral:rRNA from 1 species
UGGGGAAUAUUGCACAAUGGAGGGAACUCUGAUGCAGCGACGCCGCGUGAACGAAGAAGGCUUUCGAGUCGUAAAGUUCUUUUAUAUGGGAAGAUAAUGACGGUACCAUAAGAAAAAGCUCCGGCUAACUACGUGCCAGCAGCCGCGGUAAUACGUAGGGGGCUAGCGUUGUCCGGAAUCACUGGGCGUAAAGGGUUCGCAGGCGGAAAUGCAAGUCAGGUGUAAAAGGCAGUAGCUUAACUACUGUAAGCAUUUGAAACUGCAUAUCUUGAGAAGAGUAGAGGUAAGUGGAAUUUUUAGUGUAGCGGUGAAAUGCGUAGAUAUUAAAAAGAAUACCGGUGGCGAAGGCGACUUACUGGGCUCAUUCUGACGCUGAGGAACGAAAGCGUGGGUAGCAAACAG